CGGAGCGUAGCGCAGUCUGGUCAGCGUGGGUGCCUUGGAUGCACUGGGUCGCAGGUUCGAAUCCUGCCGCUCCGA
rnacentral:tRNA from 1 species